CAGCUCAUUCUGAUUAUUGACUUGGGACUCAUUCCCAUUAUGGUUACUACGACUACCAUGUCUUUGGCAGAUCAGAUAUAUCCUGCCACUUGACCUCUGCUACACAUCCCAAUAUCCACAUUAAACUCCGAAAGCUCUGUUUUUAUGGCAGCAUUUUAGUGUUACCUCUAGCCUUACAGUGAAUUAUCUGCACAGAUCACUUUAAGGACAUCAGCAUUGUCUUCCUCAACAUAUCUCCCAAAGCCUUGAUGAAAAGAAUCUCUCCUGGACAUUUCCAGAGUAGAUGGUGGUUCUUCCCCCAAAUUACAAGGAAUGGAGGCUGGGAAACUACAUUUCUGAGACUCCUUCAUCAUCAGGAUGCCAGAUAAUAUUUUACUUUAAUCUUUUGGAGGUAAUUUUGGUCUUUGGAAACACGAUGAAAUUGGCAUGGUAGAAAGGAGGAACAUAGCUAAAUAGAGGGUAGACAAUCAAGAAGUAAAGUAGAAGAGACCUUGGGGAAAACUGUCUCCAUACCUGCUCCCCCUUCCAGCUACCUGGCGCACGAUCUGCUUACAAUGGUUCUGGACACUUUCCUGAAUGGACAUAGGACCAUGAUGAGAGAAUCCCACCCAGCAAAUAGGACACAACUUACCUCGAGGAAGUGUUAUUCUAUGUAUGAAGCUGUGAGGGACCAACUCUUACUGAAGGCACAGCAAAAACUACCACCACGCCAUCUGAAGAGAUAGGGGGAAACAGAGACUCUCACAAGAGAUUAGCUCACUGGAGCAAAGCUGCCAGAAGCAUAAACUGAUAGGAACAGCUUCUUUCCUAGAAUGAAGAAACACUGUCUCAAGGUAGAACAUCCAGUCUGCAACCAUGAAGACAAAACCAACACAAUAAAGAUCAAAAGCAGGAAACCAGAAAG
rnacentral:lncRNA from 10 species